UUCUACAUUGCGUGGUCCCUGAGAAUUCUCGAACAGCUUCAAAGUGUUCAAGCUGUCGAGUUUUGUCAAGGACCAAACAAUAGAAGAUCACUUGGGAAC
ensembl:miRNA mir-237 ncRNA